CCUACGGGAGGCAGCAGUGGGGAAUAUUGCACAAUGGGGGAAACCCUGAUGCAGCCACGCCGCGUGAAGGAAGACGGUUUUCGGAUUGUAAACUACUAUCAGUGGGGAGGAAGGAAGUAACGGUACCUAAAUAGGACACCCCGGCUAACUACGUGCCAGCAGCCGCGGUAAUACGUAGGGGGCAAGCGUUAUCCGGAAUUACUGGGUGUAAAGGGAGAGUAGGCGGUAAGGUAAGCGAUAUGUGAAAGCCUCAAGCUUAACUUAAGGAUUGCAUAACGAACGCUCUAGCUAGAGUACAGGAGAGGAAAGCGGAAUUCCUGGUGUAGCGGUGAAAUGCGUAGAUAUCAGGAAGAAUACCAGUGGCGAAGGCGGCCCUCUGGACUGAAACUGACGCUGAGGUUCGAAAGCGUGGGGAGCGAACAGGAUUAGAUACCCUGGUAGUC
rnacentral:rRNA from 1 species